CAUGUCUAAGUACACACGGGCGGUACAGUGAAACUGCGAAUGGCUCAUUAAAUCAGUUAUGGUUCCUUUGGUCGCUCCUCUCCCGCUCCUUGGAUAACUGUGGUAAUUCUAGAGCUAAUACAUGCCGACGAGCGCCGACCUCCGGGGACGCGUGCAUUUAUCAGACCAAAACCAACCCGGGCCCGCCCGGCAGCUUUGGUGACUCUAGAUAACCUCGAGCCGAUCGCACGCCCCCGCGGCGGCGACGACCCAUUCGAAUGUCUGCCCUAUCAACUUUCGAUGGUACUGUCUGUGCCUACCAUGGUGACCACGGGUGACGGGGAAUCAGGGUUCGAUUCCGGAGAGGGAGCCUGAGAAACGGCUACCACAUCCAAGGAAGGCAGCAGGCGCGCAAAUUACCCACUCCCGACCCGGGGAGGUAGUGACGAAAAAUAACAAUACAGGACUCUUUCGAGGCCCUGUAAUUGGAAUGAGCGCACUUUAAAUCCUUGAGCGAGGAUCCAUUGGAGGGCAAGUCUGGUGCCAGCAGCCGCGGUAAUUCCAGCUCCAAUAGCGUAUCUUAAAGUUGCUGCAGUUAAAAAGCUCGUAGUUGGAUCUUGGGAUCGAGCUGGCGGUCCGCCGCGAG
rnacentral:rRNA from 1 species